rnacentral:sRNA from 1 species
GCUGGGCAUUGUGGCGGGUGCCUAUAGUUCCAGCUACUAGGAAGGCUGAGGCAAGAGAAUUGCUUGAGUCCAAGGGUUUGAGGUUGCUGUUAGCUGUGAUGCCACAGCACUUUACCGAAGGUGAAAAAAUGACACUCUGCCUCAAUAAAAAAGAAAGAAAUCGUUUCUUUUCUAGAGACAGAGUCUCACUUUGUCGCCCUUGGUAGAGUGCUGUGGUGUCACAGCUCACAGCAACCUCCAGCUCUUGGGCUUAGGUGAUUCUCUUGCCU